rnacentral:rRNA from 1 species
AAUGAACGCUGGCGGCGCGCCUAAUACAUGCAAGUCGAGCGAGAAGACGUAGCAAUACGUUUGUAAAGCGGCGAACGGGUGAGGAAUACAUGGGUAACCUACCCUCGAGUGGGGAAUAACUAGCCGAAAGGUUAGCUAAUACCGCGUACGCUUCUUGGACUUCGGUUCAGGGAGGAAAGCGAUGCCGAGGGUAUCGCGCUCUUGGAUGGGCUCAUGUCCUAUCAGCUUGNGGUGAGGUAACGGCUCACCAAGGCUUCGACGGGUAGCUGGUCUGAGAGGACGAUCAGCCACACUGGCACUGCGACACGGGGCCAGACUCCUACGGGAGGCAGCAGUAAGGAAUAUUGCGCAAUGGGCGAAAGCCUGACGCAGCGACGCCGCGUGGGGGA